UACGUAGGGGGCAAGCGUUGUCCGGAAUCAUUGGGCGUAAAGAGCGCGUAGGCGGCCCUGUAAGUCCGCUGUGAAAGUCAAGGGCUCAACCCUUGGAUGCCGGUGGAUACUGCAGGGCUAGAGUCCGGAAGAGGCGAGUGGAAUUCCUGGUGGUAGCGGUGAAAUGCGCAGAUAUCAGGAGGAACACCGAUGGCGAAGGCAGCUCGCUGGACGGUACUGACGCUGAGCGCGAAGCGU
rnacentral:rRNA from 1 species